CGACACUUGCCCUCUCGCUCAGACCCAGGGAGCAACAGGCUGGUCCUGUUCAUCUCCUUCGCACCACUGUUGCAAAGAGCAACAACUGGUGCCCCGUGUGAGGAACUCUCACUUCGCUGAUGAGCUAAUCGGGCCACAGAGUCCACAGUGAACCGAAUGAUGCUGGUCUUCCUGCUAAUAGUGAUGAAUCUCCCAUUAGCUAAGACUGGAUUUCGAGAUCCCAGUCAAGCAAGAGCCAUAUUACGUAAGACCAUUGGAGACCCCUGCACGGCCUUCUCUUUCACCCAAACUCCUCCCCCCAAAACCUGUUACACUUCUAUCAAAAUCUGCCCUAAUGGGCAAUGGGCAGCCAUGCUCAUGAAAGGGACAGAAAAUGGAUGCCCUGGAAUAGUUCUCACUCACAAGUGUUGGCCGGGCCCAAAAAUAUAUCCACCCACCCAAGGGAAACCCCUCUCUGAGAGUCCUUGCACCACUUUUCAUCCCUCCAUUCAGGCUUGAUGCUAUAAGGAAGUUAGCCCCUGCACUAAACAGAACAAAACAUACUGAUGUCUGAUGAUCUACGAGCUGUGGCCAGCACAAUUCUUGACCUCCAAGCACAGUUGGAUUCCCUUGCGGCAGUAGUCCUAUAGAACCGUAGGGGGCUUGACCUCCUCACUGCUGAAAAAGGAGGCUUAUGUCUCUUUUUACAAGAAGAAUGCUGCUUCUAUGCAAACCUCUCCGGCAUAGUCCAAAACAAAGUCAAACAACUUCAAGAAGACCUCGAGAAAUGCAGACAUGCAUUACAAGCCAAUUUUCUUUGGACUGGGUUACAUGAAUGGUUACCCUACAUUCUGCCCCUCCUUGAUCCUAUCCUUCUUUUGCUCCUACUGUUCACUUUUGGACUCUGCAUUAUUAACAAAAUUCUCCAGUUUGUCCAAAAAAUAACUGAAUCAAUUCAGUUGAUGAAUGUGCAAGUAGAAUACCAGAGGCUUGCCACAGAAGCCAGUGACCCCUGCAGUCGCUGUGAGCCUUAUGAUGAGGCCGUGUCCAUUGAUUACCCCUAACUAUCUCCCUGUGUGCCAAAGACGGGAAGAUCUCCAAAGUGGAGACAACCUAAGACAGGCCCCAGAGGAUGAGUAAGCUUGGGACAACCGAGGAGCUGCAAG